AGCUCUUACGCAGUUGCAAUGAGUCCGCUUCAGCUGGUGACCGUUCUCCUCCUGGUUUCUCUGAUCAACCUGGCUCUUGGCCAGCUGCCCCGGAAUGGCUGCUCUCCGUGGUUCCAGUACCAGGGCUAUAUGGGGCAGUACAUCGGUUUGGUGAAACUUCGUCAUCCGGUGGCCAAUAACCAGACGCUCAUCCUUCAGUUCUCCCAGGAGGGCUUUCACAAUUUUGACGAAUACGUGGGCAGUAUUUCGCUGGUGGAUGAUGAUUAUGUGACCCAGGAAAAUCUGCGUCAGGGAUUGCCGAUUCGAUACCGUGUUGACUUCCCCAUUCCAACAAUACCGCCCAAGAUAACUAGCAUGCAAUUGAAUGGCGUUGAACUUUGCGGUGGCUUAGAAUAUCCCAAACCAAGAACGGGCAUUACGCUGCGAAUCACUUGGUCGCCGUCCUACACAUUGACUUUUGAAGCUAAUCCCCAACGUGUGCCACCCAGAAGUCAUCCCACUUGGCCCCAAGAGGGAAGUCCACAGAUCGACAACAGUGGCACCAGGCCCAGUCAACCGAGAGUCGAGGAUAACGGAGACAUUUUUGUAGGGAAUAAUGAGUCACUGCCAGCGUUCCAGAAUCCUGGAUGGGGUACUGCCCCUCAGCAGGCGAAUCCGAUUAUAGGUACUAUCCCCCCGCUGAGGAUAACAAAUCCCGCCCCCCCGCGGACGACACCAGAUCCUGGUCGAUCUUCUGCCCCCCAGCAGGCGGUGAGAAGCCCUGUAGAGCUUGUUCCCCAGCAGAACCCUUCCUCCAAUGGGAUUCCCUGCGGGCGGGAGAGAGCUAGUAUCACUCCAUUCAUCUUCCAAGGAGAAAGUCUGCAGCGAGGUCAGCUCCCAUGGCUGGUGGCGAUUUUCGAGCGCCGGGAGAGCAACGGACCCGCCUUCAUCUGUGGAGGAACCCUGAUCUCCACAUCCACCGUACUAUCGGCCGCCCACUGUUUCCGUGCUCCUGGAAGGAACUUGCCCGCCUCUCGACUGGCCGUCUCCUUGGGACGAAACACUCUGGCUAUUCACUCAGAUGGAGAAUUUCGCGGAGUAUCUCAGCUGAUCAUCCACGAAAACUUUCAAAUCAAACAGUUCACGGAGGCCGAUCUGGCGCUGGUCCGAUUGGACGAACCUGUAAGGUACACGGACUACAUAGUACCUAUUUGCCUGUGGAGCACCAGCAACCGCAUGGACUUGCCCCAGGGCCACAAGAGCUAUGUUGCCGGCUGGGGACCAGAUGAGACCGGCACCGGCCACACUGAAGUAUCCAAGAUCACCGACCUAAACAUCGUCAUCGAAUCGAACUGCGUCCAGGAGCUGCCCCAUGUGCUGGUCCAGCCGAGCGCCCUGUGUGCCAAGAAGACGGGAGCAGGACCUUGUGCCAGCGAUGGCGGUGGACCAUUAAUGCUCCGGGAACAGGAAGUUUGGGUGCUGCGGGGAGUGAUCUCUGGAGGUGUGAUCAACGAAAAGGAAAACACCUGUGAGCUCUCCAAGCCAUCCGUAUUCACCGAUGUGGCCAAACACAUAGAAUGGGUUCGCCGCAACAUGUGGAACUAAGCAGAAAAUGAAGUUUGCCAACAAGGAAGGCAUGUCGCCUUCCUGAAGAGAUUUCCUUUAAUGAAUGUACUCCAAAUGACGUAAUCGGAAGAUCCAUGUAUUACUGCCGAUUACUGCGCUAUGGAGUAUACCCACGUCACUAACUUUGAUCGGGUUGGGAGAGCCAACCAGCUUUGUUUUGGAUCGGACUAUUCAGCUAUAUCGGAAACUAAUGCGAUUUGGCUGAGCUAACACCAAUCAUUCAUCGCGCGAC